rnacentral:rRNA from 1 species
AUUGAACGCUGGCGGCAGGCCUAACACAUGCAAGUCGAACGAGUGGCGGACGGGUGAGUAAUGUCUGGGAAACUGCCCGACGGAGGGGGAUAACUACUGGAAACGGUAGCUAAUACCGCAUACCAUCGGAUGUGCCCAGAGGGGCUGAGCUAGUGGGUGGGGUAACGGCUCACCAAGGCGACGAUCCCUAGCUGGUCUGAGAGGCGGACCAGCCACACUGGAACUGAGACACGGUCCAGACUCCUACGGGAGGCAGCAUUGGGGAAUAUUGCACAAUGGGCGAAAGUCUGAUGCAGCCAUGCCGCGUGUAUGAAGAAGGUCUUCGGGUUGUAAAUUACUUUCAGCGAGGAGGCGGUACUCGCCGAAGAAGCACCGGCUAACUCCGUGCCAGCAGCCGCGGUAAUAC